rnacentral:rRNA from 1 species
UACGUAGGGUGCGAGCGUUAAUCGGAAUUACUGGGCGUAAAGCGUGCGUAGACGGUUGCGUAAGUCAGAUGUGAAAGCCCCGGGCUCAACCUGGGAAUUGCAUUUGAGACUGCGUAGCUAGGGUGCGGAAGAGGGAAGCGGAAUUUCCGGUGUAGCGGUGAAAUGCGUAGAUAUCGGAAGGAACACCAGUGGCGAAGGCGGGUCUCUGGGCCGAUACUGACGCUGAGGAGCGAAAGCGUGGGGAGCGAACAGG